AUGCCUGGCUGGCUUGCAUUUUGCUUAAAGAUCGCUGCUAUCUCAAGAAUCUUCUCUGAAACCAGCUGCUUCAAGGUGCAUGGAUGCUCUUCAACAAGAAAACAGAAAGGUCAGAAACUUGCUUAAUGUGAGUGGGUUUACACAUAAAUCGGCUGGAGAACAGGACCAUGGCUGUGCAACUUGCUCCUGAGCCUACUUUCAGUUUACUCACGCACCUAUCGGACCAGGUGUAUGCUGGUUGGUCCAAUAUUCUGGGCAAUCAAGAGGUCCAUAUAACCACAGUAAACCCUGGCUAUGAGAAGCUUUGAGACAUCAACAUCCCUCAGGAUAAUCUAUGUAAAACCGUCAACACACAUUCUAAAAUUGAUGUAAAAUCACCAUAGAAAGUAAUAGAAAUGUAAUGCAGAGGUU